rnacentral:piRNA from 1 species
UAUUCCAAAAAUUGUAACUUU